CCUACGGGAGGCUGCAGUGAGGAAUAUUGGUCAAUGGACGAGAGUCUGAACCAGCCAAGUAGCGUGAAGGAUGACUGCCCUAUGGGUUGUAAACUUCUUUUAUAAAGGAAUAAAACGAGGCACGUGUGCCUUUUUGCAUGUACUUUAUGAAUAAGGAUCGGCUAACUCCGUGCCAGCAGCCGCGGUAAUACGGAGGAUCCGAGCGUUAUCCGGAUUUAUUGGGUUUAAAGGGAGCGUAGAUGGGUUGGUAAGUCAGUUGUGAAAGUUUGCGGCUCAACCGUAAAAUUGCAAUUGAUACUGGCAGUCUUGAGUACAGUUGAGGUAGGCGGAAUUCGGGGUGUAGCGGUGAAAUGCUUAGAUAUCACGAAGAACCCCGAUUGCGAAGGCAGCUUACUAAACUGUGACUGACAUUGAUGCACGAAAGCGUGGGGAGCAAACAGGAUUAGAUACCCGAGUAGUC
rnacentral:rRNA from 1 species